CUGGAGAAAAAGGCACACGGUUUCCAUUCCUGCUUUCCCUUCCCUGGCUGCAAAGGACCGCCCCUACGGCUCUGUCGGACGCGUCGGUCUCUAGCCUCAGGGGUUUCUCCAGAUCUACGUGCAGGAGUUGCUCUUCCGAUGCGAACGCCUUCUUCAGUUUUUCGAAGGAUUGCUGGGCCUCUUCUGUCCACACAAACUUCUUUUUGCUACUGAGACAAUCCGUGAUGGGCGCUGUCAAGUGGGCGAAGUUCUUGAUGAACUUCCUGUAGAAGUUGCUGAACCCUAGGAACCUCUGUACGUCCUUCCGUGUUUUGGGAGCCUUCCACUCCAGCACUGCCUGCACCUUGCUUGGGUCCAUCGCUAAGCCUUUGUCAGACAACUUGUACCCCAGAAACUCGACUUCUCUGGCGUGAAACUGACAUUUUUCCAGCUUGACCCACAACUGGUGCUUCUGCAGUCGUUGUAACACUUCCCUGACGUCUCUAACAUGUUGUUCCUCAUUGUCCGAAUAAAUUAAGACGUCGUCCAAGAAGGCUACGCAGUUCUUGUACAGCAGAGACCCCAACACGUGGUGCAUGAAAGCUUGAAAACAGGCGGAGCCCGACUGUAAUCCAAAAGGCAUAACUAAGUACUCAAAGGCACCUAGGGGUGUGAACAUUGUGGUCUUCCAUUCGUCCCCCUCCCUCAUCCUGAUCAAAUUGUAUGCGCCCCUGAGGUCCAGCUUGGUAAAAAUUUUGCCUUUCCUCACUCGCGUUAAAAUGUCGUCAAUCCUGGGCAUUGGGAAGGUCACGGGUUCUGACACCAAAUUGACAGCUCUAUAGUCCACUACGAGCCUGGGUUUAUUUGUGUCCUUUUUGUCCACAAAGAACACCGGACUGCCCCCUACUGCCUUUGAUUCUCUUAUGAAGCCUCUUUUCAGGUUCUUGUCGAUAAAUUCUCGCAACUCCUUCAUCUCCCUGUCUGACAUGGCGUACAGCUUACCCACUGGCAGCUGAGCCCCCGGAAGCAAGUUGAUCUGGCAGUCAAAGGGCCUAUGGGGUGGCAGUCUAUCUGCCUCUUUCUCGCUGAAGACCUCCCGCAGAUCUGCGUAUUGUGGCGGCACCUCCCCUUUCCGCUCCACCGCCAUCCCAGCCACCCUGGCCACGGUCAUUCUUGGGGCUUCCCCCCCUAGACAGUGUUCCAGGCAGUAAGCUGACCCAAAGGUGACUGUCCUCUGAUGCCACGCCACCACUGGAUCAUGUUGUGCUAGCCAGCUCAUCCCUAAUAUUAUUGGGGGUCCUGCUAGCGAGGCGACGUGAAAGGCGAUGGUCUCCGAGUGCCUGGACACCCUCAUUCUCAUUGGCGGGGUCUGGUGUGUCACUUCCCCUCCUAGAAGCUCCCUGCCAUCAAUGGUGGUCACUUGCAAGGGAAAAUCCAAAGGCAGUAAGUGGAGCUGGUGCUCUAAUGCAAAGUCCUUGCUGAAGAAAUUACAUGAGCUGCCUGAAUCCAGCAUGCCUUUCACCUUGACUGGGUGCCCGUUCGGGAGUUCUAGCACCACUUCGAUGGCUAUUGCCGCCUUGGGGGGGUCUGGUUGGGGCACUUUUACUGGUGGCUGGCUUGGCUGUUGUGCCCCUUGAUUGGCAGCCAAGCGUUCUCGUUUCCCUGUUCCUGUUCCUUUACCACCUCCUCCUCACCCCCUGCGAUUCCCACCAUUCCUUGCCAAGCCUUUCUUUGAGGGCAGGCUCUGGCAAAAUGGCCUGGCCGCUGGCAAAGGUAACACCUUUUGGAGGUUUUCCAAUCCUUUCCCUCCUUCUUGCGCCCUUCGCUGGUGCUUGAGACUUCCAGCCGCGCGCCCCAUCUAUUUCCAUUGGCUCUGCUGGCGGGGAGGGCUGCCUUGGUAUUUCAGGAAUGCGGUAGUCAUGGCAACGUUGCUCUCUCCCUUCCCGCCUCUCCUGGGCCCGCGCUUCCUGGCGCACGCCAAUCGCAAGCACAGCCUUGGUCAGCUGAUCCAUCCCCUGUGGGCGGGGUGCGCGGGAAAGUUCAUCCUUAACCGUUGGGGACAACCCCUCCUCGAAUAACAUCUGUAUGGGUUCGGAGCCCAGUUCCCACCCGAGGCGGUGAACUAUCAUGGCAAAGCGCGACCAGUAGUCCCUAACUGACUGGCUCCCCUGUUUACAGUUCAUCAAUUCCCGCUUUGUCACACUUUUUUGAACAUCAGUGGAAAACAUCGCGUCCAUCGCUUGGAAGAAUUUCCUCCAGGUCCUGCAUGGCGGAAUUCUGCGUCGCCAUAAGGGGUCUGACCCAUUCCCUGGCCCCGUCCUGCAGGUGACCCACAACAUAUGCCACCCGCGCCGCGUCGUCUUCAAAAUCGUUAUGCUGCAAUUCCAAUGCGUACUCUAUUUCCGUUCUAAACGCACUGUAUUCUUGCGGCUUCCCCCCAAACUUGUGCACCAGUCCCGGUACCUUCCUUGCUAUGGGGGUGGGUCUGACCUGUGCAUCUUGAGACCGCCUUUCGUCCAGCCGUGCCGUCAGAAUGGCCACAUGCUGCUCCAAAUCUCGGUUCCUCUCCUCCAGCGUUUGCCCUCCAGCUGCUCCCCCCUGGGUGCCUGCUUCUACGGGCUUGCUCAUGAUGCUGCCUGCCUGCUGCUGCGCACGAGCAACUUUUCAGGGACUGACGGAUUGCUGUAAUGAGUAUGAGUUACUCGUGCGUAAACUGGUGCCUCUCUAGGCUAAUUUGCCUUGUUAAACCUUUCUGACUGCACAGCCCUUUCUGAUCAUGACUGUCUCAGUCACUAGCAGAAUCCGUCAGUGGGCGUUUCUUGAAUCUCUUCCAACAUAAGAGUUGUUUGACACCCAAUCUUCUCCGCCUCUCACUGCGCGGGAGCCUUCUGCGCAGGGUGGGCGUGGGUAGCGGGGGACCUGUCCCCUCCUCACUGAGUUCCAGUGAAGAGUCCGUGAGCCCUCUCUCCGAUUUUCCCAUCUGCUCACUUUUGUUCCUGGUGUUGCGCUUAAAUGCUUCCCCCUCCACUGAGUCGCCUCUCCCCCUGCUGCUGGGUCCUUCUCCAGCAUCAUCCAGGAGCCUCCCCUUCACCUCCCGCUCUGAUGUCAGUUCCCUGACAG
rnacentral:lncRNA from 1 species